UACAGAGGUCUCAAGCGUUGUUCGGAUUCAUUGGGCGUAAAGGGUGUGUAGGCGGCGCCGUAAGUCGGGUGUGAAAUUUCGGAGCUUAACUCCGAAACUGCAUUCGAUACUGCGGUGCUUGAGGACUGGAGAGGAGACUGGAAUUCAUGGUGUAGCAGUGAAAUGCGUAGAGAUCAUGAGGAAGACCAGUGGCGAAGGCGGGUCUCUGGACCGGAACUGACGCUGAGGUGCGAAAGCGUGGGGAGCAAACAGG
rnacentral:rRNA from 1 species